rnacentral:rRNA from 1 species
AAAAACAUUGUCACUUGAAAACAAAAUAAGUGAUACAUCCUGCCCAAUGAAACAUUUAAUGGCCGCGGUACCCUGACCGUGCAAAGGUAGCAUAAUCAUUUGCCUAUUAAUUGUAGGCUAGAAUGAACGGAUAAACGAAGUAAUAACUGUCUCUGGUAAUCAUAUAAAAAUUAAUAUUUCAGUGAAGAAGCUGAUAUUAAAUUAUAGGACAAGAAGACCCUAUAGAGCUUUAUUUUAAUUACAUAACAAUAUGUACAUGAAUUCAGUUGGGGCGACAAAGGAACAAACAUCCUAAAAAUAAAAGAUAUACAAAUCAUAUAUAAGAUCCUAAUAAUAGAUCAUAGAAACUAGCUACCUUAGGGAUAACAGGCUAAUUUUUCUAGAGAGUUCAAAUUGAUAGAAAAGAUUGGCACCUCGAUGUUGGCUUAAGAUACCUAUAAGAUGCAGCAGUCUUAAUAGUAGGUUUGUUCAACCUAUAAAAUCUUACGUGAUCUGAGUUCAGACCGG